UCUGGUGGCGAUGCGGUCAGGGGACACACCCGUUCCCAUCCCGAACACGAUGGUUAAGACCUGACCGGCCGAUGGUACUGCACUGGAGACGGUGUGGGAGAGCAGGUGGCCGCCAGAUU
rnacentral:rRNA from 1 species